rnacentral:rRNA from 1 species
AGAGUUUGAUCCUGGCUCAGGACGAACGCUGGCGGCGUGCCUGACCCAUGCAAGUCGAACGAGGGUGCAGCAAUGCACUCAAGUGGCGGACGGGUGAGUAACACGUGACCAACCUGCCUUUGACAGGGGGAUAACGUCUGGAAACGGACGCUAAUACCGCAUGAGACCACACUAUUGCAUAAUAGAGGGGUCAAGGGAGUAACAUCCGGUCAAAGAGGGGUUCGCGUCCCAUUAGGUAGUUGGUGAGGUAACGGCCCACCAAGCCGACGAUGGGUAGCCGAGCUGAGAGGCUGAACGGCCACACUGGAACUGAGAUACGGUCCAGACUCCUACGGGAGGCAGCAGGGAGGAAUAUUGGGCAAUGGGGGAAACCCUGACCCAGCAACGCCGCGUGAAGGAAGAAGGCCUUCGGGUUGUAAACUUCUGUGACAGGGGACGAAAAAAAUGACGGUACCCUGAGAGGAAGCCACGGCAAACUACGUGCCAGCAGCCGCGGUAAUACGUAGGUGGCGAGCGUUGUCCGGAAUCACUGGGCGUAAAGGGCGCGUAGGCGGCGAUACAAGUCGCAUGUGAAAUUCCAGGGCUCAACCCUGGGGGGUCAUGCGAAACUGAAUUGCUUGAGUGCAGUAGAGGGAAGCGGAAUUCCUGGUGUAGCGGUAAAAUGCGUAGAGAUCAGGAGGAACACCGGUGGCGAAGGCGGCUUCCUGGGCUGCAACUGACGCUGAGGCGCGAAAGCGUGGGGAGCAAACAGGAUUAGAUACCCUGGUAGUCCACGCGGUAAACGAUGAUUACUAGGUGUGGGUAUCGCAGGAUAUCCGUGCCGGAGCAAACGCAAUAAGUAAUCCGCCUGGGGAGUACGGCCGCAAGGUUGAAACUUAAAGGAAUUGACGG